rnacentral:tRNA from 1 species
AUUAUAUGUGGUGUAAUAAACACCUUAACUUUUCAUGUUAAAAUUAUAUUAAAUAUCAUA